UAGAGCACUGUUUCGGCUAGGGGGCCAUCCCGGCUUACCAACCCGAUGCAAACUGCGAAUACCGGAGAAUGUUAUCACGGGAGACACACGGCGGGUGCUAACGUCCGUCGUGAAGAGGGAAACAACCCAGACCGCCAGCUAAGGUCCCAAAGUCAUGGUUAAGUGGGAAACGAUGUGGGAAGGCCCAGACAGCCAGGAUGUUGGCUUAGAAGCAGCCAUCAUUUAAAGAAAGCGUAAUAGCUCACUGGUCGAGUCGGCCUGCGCGGAAGAUGUAACGGGGCUAAACCAUGCACCGAAGCUGCGGCAGCGAACGUAUCACUUAAAGCGAUUCAGCGGAUGACGAUUGACGGAGC
rnacentral:rRNA from 1 species